CGUGGCGUCAUCUGGGCUGAUGGUGAGCAACCAGUCAGGGUGAAAUACAUCUCCAACCGCUCUUGUGGUCUAUUUAAGGACCGAGUUUCCUGUGUUCUGGGUCUCCUCCCCAGAAGCUGAUCAUCUUUCUCUCGAGAUGCAUUAAAGUUUUGCUGCAGAAGGAUCCGAGUGUGUCCUGUGUGUGUGUGUCCUCACCGGCGAGACUCCUUAUCACACAGGGACAUCUGGUGCCGAUAUCCCGGGAAUUCUACAACAUCGCUGGCACUGAGGAGACCCCCGGAAACGGGGCGGGUCCAGAACUGCAGUGGAAGGAGGAAGAUAAUCCCUUUUGGAUUCCGGAGCGCCUCACUUGAAGGAUCCAGCUCUUGGACAAUGAGUCACAGGAACAAGAUCCCAAGACAUCGAUGGAUCAUACUUCUCAUGCUGGAGAUUCUGGUUCCUAGUAUAUCUGGAGAGUUAAGAUGGGGAAUUAUUUCAACUUUCCCUCUUCCUAUGCCAGUUAUGCAUAAUGCACAAAUAUUUCCACGCUUUUUCACUACAGAUAAAGAACUGGGACUUGCUUAUUUACCCUUAGAUGAACAGAUUCAGGCUUUACUAGAAAAUAGAACCUUCUUCUUACAGGGAAGCUUGUGCUUUAUGUUAAUUUCCUUGUUACAAGAUAAGAGUCAAUGUAUAUCCUUGUAUUAUCAAUCAGCAGCCUGGUUAAGAAAGAGCUCUUGGGGCGUAAUGACUGAUAUAAAGGCUGAUGCCAUAGUUAUUAGAGGAUGGUGGCCUAGCCGAAAACCUGGAAAUAAGCUGCCUUCACAACCAAGAAUGGCACCCCUUUGCAAGGAAGGGUCCAUGGAAGAUUUAAUGUUACCUUAGACAGGUUGCCAAGCUAAAAAAUAUACUUGGGCAGUAGAGAAAUAUUUUUCCUUUUCCCCAUAUAUUAGUAGAGAGUAUAAUGAUACUUUUGCUGGAUAUGAUUUUAGUACUAUGGACCCCCUCCGAACUAAUACUAACCCUUUUGAUCAGUGGUUGCUUUGUGGGGUUAAUAGAAGCUGUACUGAUCUCGCCCCCAUGGCUAUGAUUGGAGGAGGUUCUAGUGAGAAAGGAGAAUUGACCUUUGAUUGGAAAGGUACCUUGAAGACCGGUCGGUCUGAUAAGCAGAGUCCAAAUUCUUUUAAAUGGACCACCUCCAAUGUUAGAUAUAAAAAACAGAAAGAGGUAAAUUUUACCGCCACCCGUGUAUGGCCCCCGUUUUUGUGGGUGGUAAGUAGCAAAAGCUUAAAUCAGAAUCAGAUAGAGAUAGAUUGCUCACAAGAAAAAUGUUUUUAUGCCUUAUGCUGGGAUGCUAAGAAAUAUCCUUUUGUUUUGGUUACCCGCAUACCUAGAUUUGUUCCUGUUCCUUUAGAUGCCCCUAAUAGCUUGACUUUGUUUCGAGGGAAAAGAGAUUUUGGUAUUUCUGCUAUCAUAGUUGGACUGGUGGCCACAGCGGCGGUUGCAGCCUCUGUCACGGCCUCGGCACUCGCUCUAUCUACUACUGUUCAAACAACACAAACUAUUAAUGAGCUUUCUAUGAUGGUCACAAUGGCCUUAGAUAAACAGGCCACAGUCAACUCACAGAUACAAGGAGGGUUGAUGUUGAUAAAUCAACGCAUCGACCUAGUCCAAGAGCAAGUGGAUAUUCUUUGGCAGUUGGCUCAAUUGGGCUGUGAAUACAAGAUGCCUGGCCUUUGUGUUACUUCUGUUCAGUUUGAAAAUUCUACAAGAGCAGCAAAUUUGUCAAAAACUUUGUCUCGUUAUAUGUUACAGAAUUGGACCAUGGAAUUUGAGCAAACGCUUCGAGAGUUGAGAGUUGCUAUUCUACAAGUGAAUUCUACGCGUCUCGACCUUUCGCUGACAAAGGGCUUCUCUACCUGCAUUUCCUCUGCAUUUUCCUACUUUAAGGAGUGGGUGGGUGUAGGCUUGUUUGCCGUGAUCCUAUGCAGUGGAGCAUUGCUUUUGCUCUGGAUGGUCUGUAAACUUAAAGCCCAAACAAAAAGGGACAAGAUGGUGAUAGCCCAAGCACUUGCAGCAUUAGAACACGGUACCUCCCCUGAUAUAUGGUUAUCUAUACUUAAGCAAUAGGUCGCUGGCCACUCAGCUCUUGCACCCCAUGAGGCUAGUCUCAUUGCAUGGCUAAGCACUGCAGUAGAAAGGCUCUGUGGCAUAAUAUGAGCCUAUUCUAGGGAGACAUGUCAUCUUGUAUGAAGGUUGAGUGUCCAAGUGUCCUUCUCCCAGGAAAAACGACACGGGAGUGGACCAAGACCCCUCCGGGUGACGAGCCUGGGAGAAGGUUUUGUGUAAUGCCCCUAUUUUUUGCACACUGGGGAUUUGACCUCUAUCUCCACUCUCAGUACUGGGUGGCCUGUUGCCUUUUAAAUAAAAGGGGGGAGAUGUGAGGAGCCGCCCUUGCAAUCGCCAUUACAAGAUGGUGCUGAUAUCUGGUGUUCUAACUGGUAAACAAGUAGUCUGCGCAUGUGCUGGGGUAUUUUUCCAUUCCUUGUGCCCUGCCUGUCCCGUGGCGUCAUCUGGGCUGAUAGUGAGCAACCAGUCAGGGUGAAAUACGUCUCCAACCGCUCUUGUGGUCUAUUUAAGGACCGAGUUUCCUGUGUUCUGGGUCUCCUCCUCAGAAGCUGAUCAUCUUUCUCUCGAUAUGCAUUAAAGCUUUGCUGCAGAAGGAUCCGA
rnacentral:lncRNA from 1 species